GAUUAACGCUGGCGGCGUGCAUAACACAUGCAAGUCGAACGAUGAAACUUAACUGAUCUCUUCGGAAUGAUUUUAAGUGGAUUAGUGGCGGACGGGUGAGUAACGCGUGAGUAACCUGCCUUGGAGAAGGGGAUAGCCUUUGGAAACGAAGAAUAAUACCCUAUGAUAUGAUAAUAUCUCAUGAUAUUAUCAUCAAAGAUUUAUCGCUCUAAGAUGGACUUGCGUCUGAUUAGUUAGUUGGUGAGGUAACAGCUCACCAAGGCAGCGAUCAGUAGCCGGCUUGAGAGAGUGUACGGCCACAUUGGGACUGAGACACGGCCCAGACUCCUACGGGAGGCAGCAGUGGGGAAUUUUGCACAAUGGGGGAAACCCUGAUGCAGCGACGCCGCGUGAUUUAGAAGGCCUUCGGGUUGUAAAAAUCUUUUGUAUGGGAAGAAAAUGACAGUACCAUACGAAUAAGGACCGGCUAAUUACGUG
rnacentral:rRNA from 1 species